rnacentral:rRNA from 1 species
UACGUAGGGUGCAAGCGUUGUCCGGAAUUACUGGGUUUAAAGGGUGUGUAGGCGGGCUUUUAAGUCAGUGGUGAAAUCUCCGGGCUCAACCUGGAAACUGCCAUUGAUACUAUUAGUCUUGAAUUUUGUUGAGGUAGGCGGAAUAAGUCAUGUAGCGGUGAAAUGCAUAGAUAUGACUUAGAACACCAAUUGCGAAGGCAGCUUGCUAAACAAAUAUUGACGCUGAGGCACGAAGCGUGGGGAUCAAACAGG